AUUAUAGUGCCAAAAGUAUCAUUCUGACACCGAGCUUGCUCGAGUGGGAGAAUGAUACUUGGGGCACGCCCUACAUGAGCAAGAAGUGGGGGAGGGGCCCCACGAAUUGCGAAUGUAGGACAGGAUUGUGGGAGUGCGUAAGCACGGAACAAUCCGUAA
rnacentral:sRNA from 1 species